rnacentral:rRNA from 1 species
AUUAACGCUAGCGGCAGGCAUAAUACAUGCAAGUUGAACGGCAGCACAGGUAGCAAUACUGGGUGGCGAGUGGCGCACGGGUGCGUAACACGUAUGCAACCUACCCUAUACAGGCGAAUAACCUUUAGAAAUGAGGGCUAAUACGCCGUAGUAUUACAGAUGGGCAUCUAUUUGUAAUUAAAGAUUUAUCGGUAUAGGAUGGGCAUGCGUCCCAUUAGUUAGUUGGUAAGGUAACGGCUUACCAAGACGACGAUGGGUAGGGG